GUCUUCGUGGUGUAGCGGUCAGCACACUCGACGCGUAUUCGAGAAUUCCGUGGUUCGAGCCCCGGCAAGAGCA
rnacentral:tRNA from 1 species